rnacentral:rRNA from 1 species
UACGAAGGGGGCUAGCGUUGCUCGGAAUCACUGGGCGUAAAGCGCACGUAGGCGGAUUUUUAAGUCAGGGGUGAAAUCCUGGAGCUCAACUCCAGAACUGCCUUUGAUACUGGGAAUCUCGAGUCCGGAAGAGGUGAGUGGAACUGCGAGUGUAGAGGUGAAAUUCGUAGAUAUUCGCAAGAACACCAGUGGCGAAGGCGGCUCACUGGUCCGGUACUGACGCUGAGGUGCGAAAGCGUGGGGAGCAACAGGGAUUAAGAA